UAAAUCCAGUGCUCUGUCUGCUUGGUUAGGAGGCCAUUGGUAUUGCAUGCUCCAUGGGAUGCCUCAUGAAAGGGACACGGGUGGAAACUGGUAACUUCUAGUAUUGAGUUCCAGCUCAUGAACAGGGAUCCUGGUCUCUCUGCUCUCCCCUUCUCUCUACCCCUCUCAAGUUUCAUUUCGUGUCAUGACAUGAGGCUUCACAGUGGCCAGGGCAGCUGGGGCCGUAGAGGACAUGGCCUGGACUCUCAUCCCUUCCUGUAGCUUCGGGGCACAAGGUCUCUCUCUGUCACCCAGGCUGGAGUACAGUGCUGUGGUCAUAGCUCACUGCAGCCUCGAACUCCUGGGCUCAAGUGGUCCUCCAUUCAUUUCUGUGUCCUCAGUCUCCAGCACAGGACCAGCCAGGCACAGAGAGGGACUCAUUGGAGAAGUGUGGCCUUUCUCAAGCAGGAGAGAGGCGAGGAGGAGCUGGAGCACCGGCAGGGGUGGACUAAGGAAGGGGGCGAGAGGUGGACAUUGAAGUAGAGCAAGGCCUGUUACAGAGUGGAAGGCAGGGGCUGGAGCACAUGAUUUUGAUGAUUUUGAUUCCCCUCUAACACAUAGCCUCCCCUAUUUGAUCUGCUUAAGUCCUGUUUUUUUUUUUUUUUAGGACGGAGUCUUGCUUUGUCACCCAGGCUGGAGUAGCUAGAUGAGAGGCACAAGAAUGAGGCCAAAGAAUACAUUAUAUGAAUUUAUGAUCACUAUGAAAAAAAAUCUGAUUACAAC
rnacentral:lncRNA from 1 species